CCCCUAGAUGUUCUGGGCCGCACGCGCGCUACACUGAACAGUUCAACAAGUCUUAACCUUGGCCGAUAGGUCUGGGUAAUCUUUGAACAUCGAUCGUGAUCGGGAUAGAUUCUUGUAAUUUUUGAUCUUAAACGAGGAAUUCCUAGUAAACGCAAGUCAUCAGCUUGCAUUGAUUACGUCCCUGCCCUUUGUACACACCGCCCGUCGCACCUACCGAUUGAAUGGUCCGGUGAAAUCUCCGGACUGGCGUGAGUCGGAGCAAUCUGACAAACACCGGAAAGUUGAUUAAACCUUACCAUUUAGAGGAAGGUGAAGUCGUAACA
rnacentral:rRNA from 1 species